GUGCUUGCUCAGGCAGCACCUUUGAUAACACUGGAACAAUACAGGGAGAUUAGCAUGGCCUCUACACAAGGAUGACAUUUGAGUUCAUGAAGUGGUACAUACAUUA
ensembl:snRNA U6 U6 spliceosomal RNA